rnacentral:lncRNA from 1 species
CGAUGUUUGGCAUCGAUCUUAGAGCUCAAAAUUUCAAAAUUGGGGUAGAUUUAAUUGAGGAAAAAUUGUAUCAAUAUAUUAAAGGAGAUGAUGCAAAUUAUUAAUGCAAAAAUAAGAAGAAGAAGAUGGUAAACGUAGAGGUGUAGGCAACGGCAACAAUGGAGGAAAAGGGGAAAAGAAAAAAAAUAAAGGUGAAGGGAGGGAGAGGGGUUAGAGAUGGCUAAGGUAGAAGAAAAAUGGUUAAAAGGCUG